rnacentral:misc_RNA from 1 species
UUAUUAUUAUUAUUAUUAUUAUGGGUGCAAAAUGUUUAAAAGCAAAUGUCCCUUAAGUGCCAAAAAAAGAAAAACUCGAGUCUUGAAUGCUAAAAGUUUGAAAGUUUAAAGUUUAAAAGUACAUGAUAUUUAAAUGUAUUUUACCUUUGAUUUACAAAAAGGUCUUUAUAUUUUGACAAACAAGUCAUUAAAUAUUGUAAUUAUUUUAAUCCCUUUACUCGUCUCUUCCUCUCACUAUGUUUCUAUCUGUCCAUGUUUUUCACCAUCUCUCUUCCUAUUUAUGUCUCUUUCCCACUAUGUAGCUCUUUCCCACUAUGUAGCUCUUUCCCACUAUGUAG